UUAGCAUUGGGCUUACGCGCCAUGAUGCCAUUGCCCACAGCGUGUAACAGGUGAGUCUUACCUAAACCGGUGCCGCCAUA
rnacentral:antisense_RNA from 1 species